rnacentral:lncRNA from 1 species
CCUGGACAAAGGAUGUCAUGAACAAAGGAUAUCAUGAACAAAGGAUGGCAUGGGAAAAUGAUCAACAUAGUUCGACAACACACAUACAAAAAAGGCUCUGAAAUUUGACCGCAAGUUCCAUGAGGGUGGGUUUGCUUCUAUUUUGUUACCUGGUUUAUCUCAACUGCCUGGUGCAUGGUAUACACUCCAUAAAUAUUUGUAGUUUGAAGGCAAGAUAUAACAUUUAAGGCAUGAUUUUUGUCUGGGUGAUUGCAUUCUGGUUGAUUUAAUUUUGGGGGAGUAAUCUUUUGUGCAUUUAUAUUUUUCUACAAUUAGCAUUCAACAUUUAAAUUAAAAACAAGUGCCCUAAAAUGCAAUGCAAUGUUAGGACAACAUUGAUUGUAACUGAGUGACAGAAGAAAGAGGACAAUAAGUAACCUAAUGAAGAGUGAUCCAGACAAAGGUGUAAAGGAGACCACCUCAAUUUUAGUCUCAGCCACAGUACUGAUUAGUGGUGCUGUCUUUGAUGCACCAAUUAGACCAAGAGUUUUAGAGUCUGUAUCUGUGAAAGAUGAGAAGAGCAAUGUCAAUACUUCACAGAAUAAUUUUGAAGAUUAAAUGAGGACAUAUACAUGCAUACAAGAAAACUAUGUUGUAAGUGAAAAAGGCUAAGGCUAUCUAUAAAAUAAGAUACAUUUCAUAGAUAAGAUUUUAUUGAUGAGGUGAGAUUUGAGAUUAUUGUUAAUAUUGAUUAAGAUUUCUAGUGUACAAUAAAAGGAGAAAGAAAAAAGACAUGAAAAGAAAACCACAAAAGUGCAACAGACAUGUUUACUAGCUUUUUCAGCUGUCUUAAUAGCACGCUUUUUUGAAGUCCCAUGUGGGAUUUAUCAACAGAAAACUUUCAUCCACUCCUUUAAUGGGUGUAAUAAAACCAGAGAUGACAUCACUUUACUCUCUCUAUAGAGUUAACAGCCACACUCCAGCAGCUCAUCUAGAUGAGGAUUGUGGCAUCACCUCAUGCUGGGUUCAUCAGGUAGGACGACAGAACCACAGGAGCAAAACGGUGAAAUCUCAUGGACAACACCACGUGGGUGACCAACAACAUGAAAUGAUCAGAUUUCAUUCUGGUGGGAUUCUUCAGCCAAUCCAAGUACCCAUUUCUGCUUUGUAUGGUCAUUUUUGUGGUUUUCCUGAUGACCUUGUUUGGAAACACCAUCCUGAUUCUUCUGGUAUACUCUCAAGCCCACCUCCGCACCCCCAUGUACUUUUUCAUCAGUCAACUGUCUCUCAUGGACGUGAUGCACGUUUCUGUCACCGUGUCCAAGAUGCUGAUGGACCAGGUCAUGGGUGUGAAUAAGAUCUCAGCCCUUGAAUGUGGGAUGCAAAUGUUUCUCUAUCUGUCUCUAGUAG